GACUUCCUGUGGGCCAUAACUGCACAUCCCUGAAUCUGAGCACGAAUCUGGCAGGUUUUCUCUGUCUCAGUGCGGGCAGCGGCUUGCCACGUGAAGACACUUUUCCAGGCACUGCCCAUGAAAUCAACACCCUCGAGGGACAACCGCGUGGUAUCCGAGGCCGAGGGGGCGCCGAAGGACCCGGGCACCAGGUGUUAUUAACUUUCCUCUUUGAGUCGAGGGAGGUGAAGCUCCAACAGGAUUGACUGUGAACUCGGGGCUUGGAAUGGACCCUCUUAGAACUUCAUUCGCUCCUUGACUCGCUCUAUGGCCGCCCAAGGCUCCAAAGCUGUGAAAUUUGGCAGAAUAAUUAGGACUGAGAACCCGACCAAGCUGUUGUGAGGAGAAGGUGGGCGGGCCCAUCCCUAAGGCCAAGUGCUCUGGAAAGGCAAAUACGGGAAAGGUGGAGAAACUAGGUAAGUGCGGCUAAGGGAAUUUUCUAAUUCUCUUACAUUCUUCUGUUUUUGCACCCUCGCUUAUAUGAAACUUUUUCCUUCCCUUUACCACCCCCCCCACCCCCGCACCUCUAGUCUGCCUCCUCAUCAGCUAAGUAAGCCCUGAACUUUUCUGCUAUUGUAGAGUCUACUCUGAUUGGGGAGUGUGGGGGAAUCUCCCCAACUAGAUUUUCUGAUGACUAAAACCCCACCAUUAGAGGUCCAUUUUCUUGACUUAAAUUAAUAGAAAUGUCCUGGAAGAGAAAUGAAAUUUUAUGAACACUUUAGUGAACACUGAGUUUAUCAGCUCCUUUCCAGAAAAUAAAUUUUGAGAGAAGGAACAAUAGAAGGACACCAAGGUCACUGUGCCUGAGGAGGAUCUGAAAAAAAUGUCAAAAGGGAAACACUCAAGAAAGAGGGGACAAAGAUAUCCAUUCCACAGUAAAAAAGCUGGAAAUACUCAGAUGUCCAACAUGAAAGGAAUGGUAAACAUAUUAUGGAACUGCCAUGCAACUGUACAUUAUGCAACCUAUAUAAAGGAAGUUUAUGAAAUUUCUAAUAGCAUGGGAUAGCACAUGUCACAGUAUGAGGGAAAACAAGGAUUAAAGUUGUAUAUAUAAUGUGAUCACAACACAACUACACAAAACAAACAUAAAGCCAUAUACUUAGAGAAAAGUCUAAAAGGAAACAGAAUUUUAACAGUGGUCAUCUUUGGGUGAUAAUAUCAUGUUUGAAUCUUUUAACUUUUUAUCUUUCUGAAUUUUCCAAAGUGUUUACCAUAAGCAUACCCAUUACAGUUGUGGAGAGGGCUGUACUUGAGAAAUAAACAGGUGCGAAAGAGAGAAAAAAGGGGAAGAAUUUAGGACAAACUCUGUACAUCACAAAUUUUUGAGGUGUAGUAAGAUUGUUACACCUGAGUUUUGGGUAUGGGAUAUUUAGGUUUAAAUCCCAGCACCACCAUUUACCAGUUGGGUGAUCUUCAGCUUAAAUUUUUUGUGUCUCAGUUUCCACAUCUGUUAUUGGAGGUACUAAAAGUAUUUAUCUCAUGAUGAUAUUGUAAGAAUCGAGUACAAGAAUGGAUGUAAAAGACUUAGAAUAGUUCUUGGCACAAACCAGGUAUCAUCAUGAGUUUUACUUGGCGGUCAACCUGGGCAGGCAUCUUUUUUUUUUUUUUUUUUGCUUUUUAGGGCCACCCUGGAGGCAUAUGCAGGUUACAGGCUAGGAGUCAAAUCAGAGCUACAGCUGCUGGCCUACGCAAGGGCCACAGUGAAGUGGGAUCCGAGAUCAAUCUGCGACCCACACCAUAGCUCAUGGCAACGCUGGAUCCUUAACCCACUUAGCUAGACCAGGGAUCAAACCUGCAUCCUCAUGUAUGCCAGUCAGAUUCAUUUCCGCUGAGUCACGACGGGAACUCAUGGGCAGGCAUCUUCUUAUUUUCUCUCUCUUGUUGUCUGCCUGUGAUGCACACAGCCUGAGCCACAUUACAACAACAAGAAUUCUUGUAUAUUAGUCAACAGUCAUUGCCCUUUCGAAUUAUAGUCAGUGGACCCUAAAUAUAUUAUACUUUCACACCUAAAGCCCAUAUAGUACACAUUCAUUUUAUGCUUAAGUUAUGCAAUUUUAAAAUAGUACAAUAUAAAAAGAAUGAAGUCUAAAUAUAUACACUUACUUUGAAAUAAUUAAAAUCUCUUAAAUUAAAAAUGAAAAUAAAAAAAUGUCAAAAGCUCAAAGCACAUGGGCCAAGUGAAUAAUACACUGUGUUUAUGCUGUUGCUACAUGACAGUUCCACUUUACCUGGUAAUAAAAGAUAAUUAAUAAGCAAAUACUUAUAACGCACAUAAGCCAGACACCCUUCUAACCACUUUGGUCCUCAAAACAACUUUAUACAUAGUAGCCACUUUGGUCCUCACAACUUAAUGAAGUAAGGACUAGUAUUACCUCAUGAGGCUACUGGAAGAAUCAAAUGAGAUAUGUGUAUUAUCUUCAUCUUCAUCUUAUAGCAGAGGAAUCUGAGGCAAAAAAAAAAAAAUUAACUUGCUUAGGUUCCCUUCAUUAGUAAGAGAAGGAUCUAGUUUUUAACUAGGUGGUCUUGCUCAAGCUAAAUGCACAAUGCAUUAAACCACCACCUCUUAUAUAAGGAACAAAUACAGACUUGUUCUGGGAAAAUUACUCUUGAGUUACAUAAAUUUUACUUCAUGCAAAAAUCCUUCCAUCCACAUCCAAGAGACAUCAUGAUGUCCUACAGUGCUAUGCUCAAUUAGAAACCGCAUACAUUUUAUGGGGCAGUGGUUGAACUCUCAAAUUCUCUCUCCAUUGCUGCUACUGGAACUUAAUAAUUCUAUGUGAUUUCUCUGCCAAAGACAGGAAUUGGUAUAGGACGCAUCAUUUUCAGAAAGGGAGGGCCCCUAAUGCUUAAGUUCUAGUCUUUUUACUUUCUUAGGUUGUGACAUUCAUGGACACAAAUAAUUACAGAUUGGACAAGAAUUAAGAGGCAUUUCCUUUGUAAACUCUGCUAGAGAAACUUGACCACUCAGCUCCUGGAACAAAAACGUCACUCUUCCUGGGAAAAGACCUUAAGGCCAAGUAGAAAGAAUUGUUAGAAGUGUACCCCCUUCAAUAGAUGUUACCAUCUCCCCUUUCCCAGGUUCUUCAACUUCCUUCAUCCUGCUGAAACACACCUUUGGCCAGUUCUCACUAGAUUACAUUUUGCUAGUGUGCUUACUUUCUUUUCCUUCUGUCCCUCCCUCCAUCCCUCUUUUCCUUCCUUCCUUUCUUUUUACCAUUUAAAUAACUCUGACAUUUCCAUUUUUUAUUGUUUCUUUCUUUUAAAAUUUUUUUAAACUUAGGACUCUCUUGUUAGUUAUUACAGAAAAGAGACUUUGACUUUGCCACAUAAGGUUAAACCAUCAGCUGACAGCCUGGCCUUAUAUAUUAAUUGGGAUAGAAAUGAAAAAGGCAUUCAGAAAAAAAAAGUAAGGCAUCAGCUUCUGAGCAUCUCUCAAAAUAGUAUGCUAGUUGCAUUCUACCACCAUAAAACAUAUGCAGUUGGAUGCUUUGUUCUCAUCCUGUGGCAAUGGAGAGAAUGAGAUCACGGGUACCAGAGUCUCCUUCAGCCUCUACAUCUAUGCAGCCAUUCAUGACAAAUAGUAAGAAAGAAGCUGUCAGCAUAUUCAGAUACCCUUUUUAGCAACCUUCUUUUUAUCUUCCAAUCUUGAUCUGUAUUUCUCUUAAAAUUAAAAAUUAAGGAGUGAAAGAACUAUAACUCAUUAACUCUUCAAAUAAUUCUCCAAAUAAUAUAUUCUAAAAAUUAUUUGGCCUGAAGAGACUUACGUUUUAUUUAGAAAUCCUUGAACUCUUGGAUUCAACAGAACUUUGCCCUAUAGGCUUUAUCGCUCACUCUGACAGACUGAAGAGCAAUUCCAUUUCAUUUUAGUAUAGGGGGGAAAAAAGUUAUCUGCUUCAUAGAAACUGUGUGUCCUUGAACAAGUCAUUUAAUCUCUUUGAACCUCAAUUUCCUCAUCCAAAGUUAUCAUUUAAAGUAAUAGAUAUAAAUGUUCAAUACAUAUUUGAAACAUAUGAAAAAAUUUUCAAUCUUACUAGUACUUAAAGAAAUGAAAAUUUAAACAAAUAAGUAUUUAUCACUUGAACAAAGAUAUUUUAACAUAAAAUAUUUAUGUUAAAAUUAUUUAAGUUCAUAACUAUGAAAUUUAUAAUUUUAACAUUAUAAAUUAUAAACUUAGUGACGGUAUGGAGAAAUGGGCAGUGUCAUACCCUGCCGUGGACCUAGAAAAUGCUAUGACUUUAAUAAGAAUAAUCAGGCAGUUUGUAACAAUAUUCCAUCAAAAGUGUUUGUAUUUUUAACUCAACCAUUCUACCUCUAGAAAUUC
rnacentral:lncRNA from 1 species